AACGUAGGAGGCAAGCGUUAUCCGGAUUUAUUGGGCGUAAAGCGCAUGCAGGUGGUUCCGCAAGUCGGGUGUGAAAGCUCCUGGCUUAACUGGGAGAGGUCGUUCGAAACUGCGGGACUGGAGGUCGGAAGAGGGAAGCGGAAUUCCCGGUGUAGUGGUGGAAUGCGUAGAUAUCGGGAGGAACACCAGUGGCGAAAGCGGCUUCCUGGUCCGCACCUGACACUCAGAUGCGAAAGCGUGGGGAG
rnacentral:rRNA from 1 species